UACGGGGGGGGGCAAGCGUUGUUCGGAAUUACUGGGCGUAAAGGGCGCGUAGGCGGCCAUCUAAGUCAGACGUGAAAUCCCUCGGCUCAACCGAGGAACUGCGUCUGAUACUGGAAGGCUUGAAUCCGGGAGAGGGAUGUGGAAUUCCAGGUGUAGCGGUGAAAUGCGUAGAUAUCUGGAGGAACACCGGUGGCGAAGGCGGCAUCCUGGACCGGUAUUGACGCUGAGGCGCGAAAGCUAGGGGAGCAAACGGG
rnacentral:rRNA from 1 species